rnacentral:lncRNA from 1 species
UCUGAGUCCAGCAGGAUUAGGGAGAUCAUGACGAUGAAAUCGAGAUCCCACGGCCAUGCAAAGCUGUCAUCGUGGGCGUGAUCGUUAUCCUGAAACCAGUCACUAUCAUCAGAUUCUAAACUGUCUUCGAAUUCCCAAGAGUCUACGCCAAGCAGCGCGCCGUUUCCCCUGUCGAACCCUACCCGCGGAAGUAGGAGAUCCUCCAGCGUUUCCUUAGAGACAGAACCAUCACUUAGGUGACGCAGCUCGAAUUCCAGGGACCCGUGCUGCUGGAUCAGGCGAUGGCUCUGAAGGGAAACAAGUGAUUCCAGGAAAGCUGUGAGACGCUGCUGUUGCUCCAAGAGUUCCUGCACGUGGGUCGCUAGUACUACGAGUUCUGUCGGAUUACCAAAUGCCAGAUCAUGAACGGAAGAGCUACCUUUCUUUCUGUCAUGUUUCACCCCUUCGCUGUGACCGGCCACACCUUCCUCAGUUGUUCGAGCCCGACCUUGCCACUCUUCCAAACUCUGUUGGUCACUUCGCGAGCCGCGAGAAUCCGUCGCACCGAGGAGUACAUGUCGAGGAACUAAGCGGACGACACUGAGACUUGCGAGCUGUUUUUGAAGCGUAUCGACGGUCUGUUGGAGACUUGCCAAACCCCUGCGGAACUCCGUUUUUGCUUCUCGCAAGGAAUCUCUGUGGGUCUCCUCUUGUCCUUUAUUUCUCCCUCUCGAAGAGAGGAGGAGCAGUCGACGGUGCUCAAGUUCCUCGUAGCGCCUCCACUCUUCACCUAGCGAUGCCUGCUGGUCUUUAGCUCGACCUAAAAGCUUUUCAAGUGCCUCUUUGGUGGCUGUCUCAAUGCCACUGGCGACUGCCACAACUUCCCUUUGACGUUCGUGCAGCGCAGAACGUCUCGAAUCUGUAAGUGGGAGCUUUGGAGACGGGUUGAUCCAUUUGUGUUUCUGGAAGCCCUCAAUCUUCAGUUUGCCCUGUAUUCUUUUUUGUCCUCCUUUUGGCUGUGUCCCGAUGCCGCCCUGAUGGGAUUGACCAUCACCUGAUGUAAAUUGCUGUUCAGCAGCCUGCUUUUCAGUCAUUGAGAAGCCCUGCAGCUGUCGCGGCUUCUCUGAAGACAGGGACGGAUUCCGUUUAGACUGUCUGGCAACGUCAGAGUCUGUUGCCUGGUCCACAGGGUUUCUGAAUUUUCCCUCUAAACCGGUAGCUCUGCGCUUGUCUCCCACUUUCUUCCCACUCUUUUCAUCCUGCGUCAAAGUCCCAACCACAUUAUGCUGCUCCUUGAUGGUUGACUCUCUUCCCAACUGCACCUCCGCUAACAUCUCAGGGAUAUGAGCAAGGCUUUUGGUCGAGAUGUUGGUGUACCAAAGUGGGUUAUCAACCACUGUAACGUGAGCAAGAACAAGAGAUGCAGUGUCAUCCGUCGUUGAUAACGGUGCAGAAUAUCGUGGCGACGAAUGAUUAAGGAACACGGGAGUGGCAUGCUCUGGUGAUGUUUGUGAAUCCAGAACUCUCCGAUUCGUUGGAGUGCCCGAAACAUCUAAGUGAGCAGCCG